UUCCUAAAACAUAGAGUUAAUGCACUAGAUCCCAUUAGAACUUUGCAGUUAAGCGUGCUCGGGCUAAAGUAGUACUGGGAUGGAUGAUUGCCCAGGAAGUCCUAGUAUUUUACAUGC
rnacentral:rRNA from 1 species